GGCCAGACUCCUACGGGAGGCAGCAGUGGGGGAUAUUGCACAAUGGGGGGAACCCUGAUGCAGCGACGCCGCGUGGGUGAAGAAGUAUUUCGGUAUGUAAAGCCCUAUCGGCAGGGAAGAAAUUGGACGGUACCUGACUAAGAAGCCCUGGCUAACUACGUGCCAGUAGCCGCGGGAAUACGUAGGGGGCGAGCGUUAUCCGGGUUCACUGGGUGUAAAGGGAGCGUAGACGGCCAUGCAAGCCAGGGGUGAAAGCCCGGGGCCCAACCCCGGGACUGCCCUUGGAACUGUGCGGCUAGAGUGCGGGAGGGGCAGGCGGAAUUCCUGGUGUAGCGGUGAAAUGCGUAGAUAUCAGGAGGAACACCGGCGGGGAAGGCGGCCUGCUGGACCGCGACUGACGUUGAGGCUCGAAAGCGUGGGGAGCGAACAGGAUUAGAUACCCGUGUAC
rnacentral:rRNA from 1 species